rnacentral:rRNA from 1 species
UACGGGGGGGGCAAGCGUUGUUCGGAAUUACUGGGCGUAAAGGGCUCGUAGGCGGCCAACUAAGUCAGACGUGAAAUCCCCAGGCUCAACCUGGGAACUGCGUCUGAUACUGGAUGGCUUGAAUUCGGGAGAGGGAUGCAGAAUUCCAGGUGUAGCGGUGAAAUGCGUAGAUAUCUGGAGGAAUACCGGUGGCGAAGGCGGGUCUCUGGGCAGUAACUGACGCUGAGGAGCGAAAGCGUGGGGAGCAAACAGG